UAUUGGUCAAUGGCCGGAAGGCUGAACCAGCCAAGCCGCGUGAGGGAAGACGGCCCUACGGGUUGUAAACCUCUUUAGCCGGGGAACAAGGCGCGGGACGCGCCCCGCCGGGAGCGUACCCGGAGAAAAAGCAUCGGCUACCUCCGAGCCAGCAGCCGCGGUAAUACGGAGGAUGCGAGCGUUAUCCGGAUUUAUUGGGUUUAAAGGGUGCGCAGGCGGAAUGUCAAGUCAGCGGUAAAAUUUCGGGGCUCAACCCCGUCGUGCCGUUGAAACUGGCGUUCUUGAGUGAGCGAGAAGUAUGCGGAAUGCGUGGUGUAGCGGUGAAAUGCAUAGAUAUCACGCAGAACUCCGAUUGCGAAGGCAGCAUACCGGCGCUCAACUGACGCUCAUGCACGAAAGCGUGGGUAUCG
rnacentral:rRNA from 1 species